UACGGGGGAUGCAAGCGUUAUCCGGAAUCAUUGGGCGUAAAGCGCCUGUAGGUUGUUUAAUAAGUCUGUUGUUAAAGACUAGGGCUUAACCCUAGAAAAGCAAUGGAAACUACUAGACUAGAGUAUGGCAGGGGUAGAGGGAAUUUCUAGUGUAGCGGUGAAAUGCGUAGAUAUUAGAAAGAACACCGGUGGCGAAAGCGCUCUACUGGACCAUUACUGACACUCAGAGGCGAAAGCUAGGGUAGCAAAAGGG
rnacentral:rRNA from 1 species